CGAGCAGGUGCGAAAGCAGGUCAUAGUGAUCCGGUGGUUCUGAAUGGAAGGGCCAUCGCUCAACGGAUAAAAGGUACUCCGGGGAUAACAGGCUGAUACCGCCCAAGAGUUCAUAUCGACGGCGGUGUUUGGCACCUCGAUGUCGGCUCAUCACAUCCUGGGGCUGAAGUAGGUCCCAAGGGUAUGGCUGUUCGCCAUUUAAAGUGGUACGCGAGCUGGGUUUAGAACGUCGUGAGACAGUUCGGUCCCUAUCUGCCGUGGGCGCUGGAGAAUUGAGGGGGGCUGC
rnacentral:rRNA from 1 species